rnacentral:rRNA from 1 species
UACGGAGGGUGCAAGCGUUAUCCGGAUUUACUGGGUUUAAAGGGUGCGUAGGCGGUUAGGUAAGUCAGGGGUGAAAUCUUCGAGCUUAACUCGGAAAUUGCCUUUGAUACUAUCUAUCUUGAAUAUUGUGGAGGUAAGCGGAAUAUGUCAUGUAGCGGUGAAAUGCUUAGAUAUGACAUAGAACACCUAUUGCGAAGGCAGCUUACUACGCAUAUAUUGACGCUGAGGCACGAAAGCGUGGGGAUCAAACAGG